CAAUAGCGUAUAUUAAAGUUGUUGCGGUUAAAAAGCUCGUAGUUGGAUUUCUGCUGAGAACGACCGGUCCGCCCUUUGGGUGUGUAUCUGGCUCUUUCUUGGCAUCUUCUUGGUGAACGUUGCUGCACUUGACUGUGUGGAGCGCUACCCAGGACUUUUACUUUGAGGAAAUUAGAGUGUUUCAAGCAGGCAUACGCCUUGAAUACAUUAGCAUGGAAUAAUAAGAUAGGACCUCGGUUCUAUUUUGUUGGUUUCUAGAGCUGAGGUAAUGAUUAAUAGGGAUAGUUGGGGGCAUUCGUAUUUAACUGUCAGAGGUGAAAUUCUUGGAUUUAUGAAAGACUAACAUCUGCGAAAGCAUUUGCCAAGGAUGUUUUCAUUGA
rnacentral:rRNA from 1 species